AUGAUUUCUGUUUCAUGCGGGGUGUGGCAUAGUGCUGCUGUUGUGGAUGUUAUUAUGAUGCUGAUGCAGUCAAAUGCUUCAUCUGGAAAUCUAGUUACAUGGGGAGAUGGAGACAAAUAUUGGCUUGGGCAUGGUGGCAGGUCCUUGAAACUCAAACCAACUCGUGUGUCUUCUUUACUGAUAUACUACAACAUACACAAAUCUGCAUUUGGCCAUACUCUUACGAUUGGGUUGACAACUUCAGGGCACAAAUCUGCAUGUGGCCAUACUCUUACGAUUGGGUUGACAACUUCAGGGCACAAAUCUGCAUGUGGCCAUACUCUUACGAUUGGGUUUGACAACUUCAGGGCACAAAUCUGCAUGUGGCCAUACUCUUACGAUUGGGUUUGA
rnacentral:rRNA from 1 species